rnacentral:rRNA from 1 species
UGCCAGCCGCCGCGGUAAUACGGAGGGUCCGAGCGUUAUCCGGAAUCAUUGGGUUUAAAGGGUCCGUAGGCGGGCAGCUCAGUCAGUGGUGAAAGUUUGCGGCUUAACCGUAAGAUUGCCAUUGAUACUGGUUGUCUUGAAUUGGUGUGAAGUGGUUAGAAUGAGUAGUGUAGCGGUGAAAUGCAUAGAUAUUACUCAGAAUACCGAUUGCGAAGGCAGAUCACUAACACUAUAUUGACGCUGAGGGACGAAAGCGUGGGGAGCGAACAGGAUUAGAUA